rnacentral:tRNA from 1 species
GGCAGUGUAGUACAAUGGGUAAGGCGCUGGUCUUGUAACCUAAAGGUCACUGGUUCGAUUCCCAGGUAGGCACACUGCCG